UGAUGAUGAUGAGGAUGAUGAUGAUGAUGAUGAUGAUGAUUAUGACUGUGACGCCUCUGGUUGAAAACUGAGAAAAUUACGUGAGCGCCAAACCCUAUAAAAUGCCUGACGCCAACUCAGUCUCACAUCUAAUUAACAUAAUCCUCAUUAUCAUUAUCAUCAUCAUCAUCAUCAUAAUCAUCAUCAUCA
rnacentral:pre_miRNA from 1 species